rnacentral:rRNA from 1 species
GAUGAACGCUGGCGGCGUGCCUAAUACAUGCAAGUCGAGCGAACAGACGAGGAGCUUGCUCCUCUGACGUUAGCGGCGGACGGGUGAGUAACACGUGGAUAACCUACCUAUAAGACUGGGAUAACUUCGGGAAACCGGAGCUAAUACCGGAUAAUAUAUUGAACCGCAUGGUUCAAUAGUGAAAGACGGUUUUGCUGUCACUUAUAGAUGGAUCCGCGCCGCAUUAGCUAGUUGGUAAGGUAACGGCUUACCAAGGCAACGAUGCGUAGCCGACCUGAGAGGGUGAUCGGCCACACUGGAACUGAGACACGGUCCAGACUCCUACGGGAGGCAGCAGUAGGGAAUCUUCCGCAAUGGGCGAAAGCUUGACGGAGCAACGCCGCGUGAGUGAUGAAGGUCUUCGGAUCGUAAAACUCUGUUAUUAGGGAAGAACAAAUGUGUAAGUAACUAUGCACGUCUUGACGGUACCUAAUCAGAAAGCCCCGGCUAACUACG